GAUGAACGCUGGCGGCGUGCCUAAUACAUGCAAGUCGAGCGAACGGACGAGAAGCUUGCUUCUUUGAUGUUAGCGGCGGACGGGUGAGUAACAUGUGGAUAACCUACUUAUAAGACUGGGAUAACUUCGGGAAACCGUAGCUAACACCGGAUAAUAUUUUGAACCGCAUGGUUCAAUAGUGAAAGACGGUCUUGCUGUCACUAAUAGAUGGAUCCGCGCUGCAUUAGCUAGUUGGUAAGGUAACGGCUUACCAAGGCAACGAUGCAUAGCCGACCUGAGAGGGUGAUCGGCCACACUAGAGCUGAGACGCGGUCCAGGCUCCUACGGGAGGCAGCAGUAGGGAAUCUUCCGCAAUGGGCGAGAGCCUGACGGAGCAGCGCCGCGUGAGUGAUGAAGGUCUUCGGUUCGUAAAACUCUGUUAUGAGGGAAGAACAUAUGUGUAAGUAACUGUGCACAUCUUGACGGUACCUAGUCAGAAAGCCACGGCUAACUACGUG
rnacentral:rRNA from 1 species